GAGGGCGCGCGAGGCGCCGCACGGGGGAGGCUUCUCCGAAAGCCGCGAGGGCAGCUCCCGUGUGUCCGCUGUGCAAACCGGUCCUUCCGCCAAAAACCUGCUGUCUGGCUUUUCUCAGCAGGACUUUCUGUAGAUUUAGACAAACUGAUUCUAAAUGCACCACACGUGGAAAAAUGAAAGAAGACUCACAUAACCCAACGUUACACUGACUGUGGAGUGACAGCGUGAGGCCAGCUUGGUGUUGGAGAAGGGGCAGACACACACCGAGGGAAGACGAUGGAGAUCCCAGAAACGGACGCACACAAAUAUGGCUCAUGGAUUAUUGACCAAGGCCUCCCUGGAUGGAUGUUGGGAGAGUUUACGCGUGGCCUUGUGGGAUCGCUGUGGCGGACUCUCAGCUAUCAGAGGGCUCCAUCACUCCAUCGUAAGGAGGCAGCUGGUGGCGAGUCCUGAGCAGGGAUGUGAUCCGACGGGCAGGCGGCGCCCGGGACAGAAGCUGACGUCACACAGGUGAGUCCCCCACCUCCCCACAGGCUUCCUCCACCCCCUCGGCAGCCCAGCAGGGCCUGUCAAUCAGUGGGACCUGGUCAGCUGGCUGCUAGGGGACCUCAGGCAGGGGGGCUUGUCCGCAGGGCCUCCAGCAAGGGGGGACAUUCAUGACACCCAGCAGGGCUCAAGAAGGUGAGACAGAGGGACACUGAACCCAGCCCUUUACAGAAGACCUGAGUCCACCGAGGAAGGGGGCCAACCCCCUCCCCGCGUCUGCAUCCCCAGGACCACCCCGGGUGGAGAGGGCCGAGUGUGGUGCCUCCGCGGGUGCUCUGACGAUCGUCUCGAGCCACGGGGGUGACAGUGACAAGGACCUGUGUGCACGUUAGUGGGGCAGCCAGGCCUAGCUGGAGAAGAAACACACACACGCACACGUUCACCCACAUACACGUGCACACACAUGCUGCCAGUUCAGGGGGUGGAGGACGCUGACUCCAGGCCCAGCUGACCUGCGCGGGGCCCUAUUGUGAUGUGUGCAGCCACCCCAUGACGUCACCGGUGCCAAGUGCCGGCUGUGUGCGGAGCAGUUGGAGACACAGUGGGUGUCCGAGGGGGGGCUCUGCGUCCGGAGGUGAGAGGUGGGUCUCAACACAGCUGCCCUCCCCCAUGGUAUGGUGACAGUCACUAACAGGUGGCCUGCGCUGGCCUCCACGUGGCUGCCAAGGGCCAUCCCUGAGCACUCAGCGGGUGCCUGUUCCACACGGACUAUGAAAAUGACUGUCUCGUUCACCUCACGGCGACCCCGUGGGGUGGAUACGAACUCACGCCAUUUGACAGGCGAGACGUCCGAGGUCAGAGGGGAGGAGACGGACCCGACCUUCCUUGGCUGUGCUCUCCAGCCCUGUCCUGUGCUGGACCCAACCUAACCUCUGCAGCCUCCCUGCCCUGGACACAAAUCUGGCUGAGACCCCAGACCCUGAUGGGGCAGAGCCUGGCACUGGAGGAGCCACCAGGAUGGGCCCCUGUGGGUGUGGGCAGAGGGUGAUCCUCAGUUCAGGUUUUUGCCAGAAGAUGGGUUCCUGCAGGAGGGGGUCUCAGCAGCUCAGACUUCAGAUGCGCUCACUGCUGCUCACUGUGGGACAGCCAGACACGGAGCCCUCUGUUCUCCAGCAGUUGUGGACAAUGAGGGAUCCCUGGAGGGAUGCCUGGUGGGCAGCAGGAGUCCCUCUUGUGGGUCAGGGUGCGGGGAUGGGCUCUCCCUGCAGGGACUUCCCAGUCUUGUCCUCUGGGAUUGGCAGUUUGCAGGGGUAUCCUCGGCAUCAGACCAGGGGGGCCACACAGGGACCCAGAUCUAUGGGGCCCAGCCCCGGGAAGACCAGAUGGGCUCAGUGGAGAAGCUGACCACAUCUGCUUUCCUUUCAGCCAAACCGGGGAGCGUCCCGGCACCCAGGCCUCUGCGGGUAACCCCAGGCAUCAAGACCCUCCCUCAAGGGGAGGAGCUGGCUCUCCCCUGCCCAUCAGCACAGCUCCAGAAUCCCAAGGGGUCAGCUCCCACAUGGGGGCCUGGUCCUGCCACACACUGGCCUAGCUGGGCUGUCCCCGAGGCCAAGGCCUAGCGGCAUGAGGGGGCUUCCGUGGAGCCCAGGGCAGUGGGCUGCUCUCUGGAGUCCCUAGGACUCGGGGUGUGGCUGGCCUGUCCCCAGAUCAGGACACACCCCAGGUUGUCCAGUGGUUCCCGUGCUGGAACUCCUGUUGAAGCCACCCAGGGACCUGGAUGCUUCCCACAGUUCAGCAUGGAGCAGGGGUGCUGGGCCCUGACCCCUCCACGUCUGUCCUGGACACCCCAGGACCACAGCACAGGCCCAGCCCUGCAACCCCAGCGGGGCCCUGAUACCAGGCCCUGCCCAGCCCCGUAAUGACCAAGAGGCAGGUCCAGAGAUACCUCCUGCACAGGGUCACCUGCAUCUGACGCCCCCAGCAGGCAGUGACCAGCACGGUGUGGAAGGAGCCAGGGUGGCACCCGGCAGCCCUAGAGGGCUCCUGGCCUCGGGAAGUCUAUCGAUGGGGAAGCUGGUCACUCGGAGGCUGCUGGGGAGAAGGGGGAGUGUGGCAUUCCCUGGACAGAAGGGCAAGUGUGGCGUCCCCUGGAGAGAAGGGCGAGUGUGGCGUCCCCUGGAGAGAAGGGCGAGUGUGGCGUCCCCUGGAGAGAAGGGCGAGUGUGGCGUCCCCUGGACAGAAGGGGGAGUGUGGCGUCCCCUGGAGAGAAGGGGGAGUGUGGCGUCCCCUGGAGAGAAGGGGGAGUGUGGCGUCCCCUGGAGAGAAGGGCGAGUGUGGCGUCCCCUGGACAGAAGGGGGAGUGUGGCGUCCCCUGGAGAGAAGGGGGAGUGUGGCGUCCCCUGGAGAGAAGGGGGAGUGUGGCGUCCCCUGGAGAGAAGGGGGAGUGUGGCGUCCCCUGGAGAGAAGGGCGAGUGUGGCGUCCCCUGGAGAGAAGGGCGAGUGUGGCGUCCCCUGGACAGAAGGGGGAGUGUGGCGUCCCCUGGAGAGAAGGGCCAGUGUGGCGUCCCCUGGAGAGAAGGGGGAGUGUGGCGUCCCCUGGAGAGAAGGGGGAGUGUGGCGUCCCCUGGACAGAAGGGGGAGUGUGGCGUCCCCUGGAGAGAAGGGCCAGUGUGGCGUCCCCUGGAGAGAAGGGCGAGUGUGGCGUCCCCUGGACAGAAGGGGGAGUGUGGCGUCCCCUGGAGAGAAGGGCGAGUGUGGCGUCCCCUGGAGAGAAGGGCGAGUGUGGCGUCCCCUGGAGAGAAGGGGGAGUGUGGCGUCCCCUGGACAGAAGGGGGAGUGUGGCGUCCCCUGGAGAGAAGGGCGAGUGUGGUGUUCGCUGGAGAGAAGGGCGAGUGUGGUAUUCCCUGGACAAAAGGGGGAGUGUCCCUGCAGCCCUGGCCAGCCAGCGGCAUGCCCUGCUAGCUCUCCCCCAACCUCAGGGAUAGGGAACCCUGACAGGGCACAAGUCCCCGUCCCAGAGGGGCCUGGCCCAGCCUCAACCCGGGCCCUGGGAGGGGAGGGGCACCAGGGGCGCUGUGGGCCCCCAGCAGAAGCCAGGAUGACCACACAGGGGACUGAGCUGUCUGUGGCUGUGGCCAGACCUAGAACUUGGCCCAAGGCAGGGCAAGCCCCUUGGAGCAGAGUGGGUGGCAGAGCCUGUGUAUACCCAGCAAGGCUGAGCCAGUGACACUACCAGGCUCCAAGAGCAACCAGCCAUGAGGCAGGCGUGGGGCAAGGGUAGGGUGAGGGCAGGGGCGGGGGAGAGUGGGGCAGGAGCAGACGGACCAGCUGCCAACCUCGUCCACUCCAGGAGGCAGGGAUGGCCAGGCUCCCACGCCCUACUGGCCGCUACCCGACCACCAAUGAGGCAGAGGCCUGAGGCCAGUCGGUGCUGGAGCCCUACUUCCAAGGUCCACAGACCGCUUCAGGCCACAGAGCCGAAGAAAACUGGGCAUGUGAAGGCCCAGGAGGCGGGGUCCCUAUGUCUGCCAUUCUUGGCAGGUGCAUUUCACGCUGGGAGCAAGUCAGGAAAGGUGAUGCCUCUCACCGCCAAGAAGGCUCCCAGCAGAGACCAGAGCCACCGGCACAGAUCCCCAACCCCUGAAACCACCUCCCUCUGGAGGACCAGGACGCCCUCCUAGUUGGUAGAAGCACAGUAAGCUCUCUGUCCUUAUGAUCUGCCUGCUUGUCCAGAGCUCUCUGCCAGAAGCCGUGGACACUGGGGCAGGCGGGAGGAGAGAGCACCACAGCCCAGACCCCUGACCGGCCUCUCCCAACCUCCCCCUCCCAAAGGCUAUGGAGAGCCCAGGGCUGGACAGGCCUGAGGUUCCGACAUACCUCAUGCCAGGCCACACGCGCACCGUGUCCCACCCUCAGCCGAAAACCAAGAUCAAGACCAUCCAAUAAUUUACUGUGAUCCCAUCUGUGCCCGACAAGGGCCCACAGAGGCCUGGGAGGGGAGCUAAGGGCUGGGGUUCCGGUG
rnacentral:lncRNA from 1 species